CCUACGGGUGGCAGCAGUGAGGAAUAUUGGUCAAUGGGCGCGAGCCUGAACCAGCCAAGUAGCGUGAAGGAUGACUGCCCUACGGGUUGUAAACUUCUUUUAUAAAGGAAUAAAGUGAGGCACGUGUGCCUUUUUGUAUGUACUUUAUGAAUAAGGAUCGGCUAACUCCGUGCCAGCAGCCGCGGUAAUACGGAGGGUCCGAGCGUUAUCCGGAUUUAUUGGGGUUAAAGGGAGCGUAGAUGGGUUGUUAAGUCAGUUGUGAAAGUUUGCGGCUCAACCGUAAAAUUGCAAUUGAUACUGGCGGUCUUGAGUACGGGUGAGGUAGGCGGAAUUCGUGGUGUAGCGGUGAAAUGCUUAGAUAUCACGAAGAACCCCGAUUGCGAAGGCAGCUUACUAAACUGUGACUGACAUUGAUGCUCGAAAGUGUGGGUAUCAAACAGGAUUAGAUACCCGAGUAGUC
rnacentral:rRNA from 1 species